UACCAGCACCCCGAGUGGUCGGGACGUUUUAUUGGGCCUAAAGCAUCCGUAGCCGGUUCUACAAGUCUUCCGUUAAAUCCACCUGCUUAACAGAUGGGCUGCGGAAGAUACUAUAGAGCUAGGAGGCGGGAGAGGCAAGCGGUACUCGAUGGGUAGGGGUAAAAAUCCGUUGAUCCAUUGAAGACCACCAGUGGCGAAGGCGGCUUGCCAGAACGCGCUCGACGGUGAGGGAUGAAAGCUGGGGGGAGCAAACCGG
rnacentral:rRNA from 1 species